CGUCACACUAUCAUUAACUGAAUCCAUAGGUUAAUGAGGCGAACCGGGGGAACUGAAACAUCUAAGUACCCCGAGGAAAAGAAAUCAACCGAGAUUCCCCCAGUAGCGGCGAGCGAACGGGGAGGAGCCCAGAGCCUGAAUCAGCAUGUGUGUUAGUGGAAGCGUCUGGAAAGGCGCGCGAUACAGGGUGACAGCCCCGUACACAAAAGCGCAUGUGCUGUGAGCUCGAUGAGUAGGGCGGGACACGUGGUAUCCUGUCUGAAUAUGGGGGGACCAUCCUCCAAGGCUAAAUACUCCUGACUGACCGAUAGUGAACCAGUACCGUGAGGGAAAGGCGAAAAGAACCCCGGCGAGGGGAGUGAAAAAGAACCUGAAACCGUGUACGUACAAGCAGUGGGAGCACAGGUUUACCUGUGUGACUGCGUACCUUUUGUAUAAUGGGUCAGCGACUUAUAUUCUGUAGCAAGGUUAACCGAAUAGGGGAGCCGGAGGGAAACCGAGUCUUAAU
rnacentral:rRNA from 2 species